rnacentral:rRNA from 1 species
AAUUCAAGGGUGUGGCGCGAGCUCCUUCGGGAGCGAAGCAAUUGGAAGUGGUUCCAAGAAAAGCCUCUAAGCUUCAGUCUAACGAUGACCGUACCGCAAACCGACACAGGUGGGCGAGAUGAGUAUUCUAAGGCGCUUGAGAGAACUCGGGAGAAGGAACUCGGCAAAUUGGUACCGUAACUUCGGGAUAAGGUACGCCCUUGUAGCUUGACUGGCCUGCGCCAGGAGGGUGAAGGGGUUGCAAUAAACUGGUGGCUGCGACUGUUUAAUAAAAACACAGCACUCUGCAAACACGAAAGUGGACGUAUAGGGUGUGACGCCUGCCCGGUGCCGGAAGAUUAAAUGAUGGGGUGCAAGCUCUUGAUUGAAGUCCCGGUAAACGGCGGCCGUAACUAUAACGGUCCUAAGGUAGCGAAAUUCCUUGUCGGGUAAGUUCCGACCUGCACGAAUGGCGUAACGAUGGCCACACUGUCUCCUCCCGAGACUCAGCGAAGUUGAAGUGUUUGUGAUGAUGCAAUCUACCCGCGGCUAGACGGAAAGACCCCAUGAACCUUUACUGUAGCUUUGCAUUGGACUUUGAACCGAUCUGUGUAGGAUAGGUGGGAGGCUAUGAAACCGGAACGCUAGU